rnacentral:lncRNA from 1 species
AUGGGAUCAAUUUAACUUCUUUAGCUUUCUUCUUUAAUUGCUUGUUUUGUAUUGCUUAUUGCUUUACUCCCCCUCAACAUAGCAAUCGUAAAAGAUAUAUUCAUUGAAAAGAUAUUGCUAUUCAAGUAUUGCAGAAUUUAAAAGUAUCUUCAAGUUGACCACAUUUAGAGAUAUUCAUUGAAAGUCAAAGUGUAUAUAUAUAUAUUCAAAAGAUCUUUAAGUACAAAGAUGUUUUAAUACAUAAGUGUUGACUUAGAGUAUAAAAGA